rnacentral:snRNA from 1 species
UUCCUUAUAGAAGACAUCCGAUAAAAUUGGAACGAUACAGAGAAGAUUUGCAUGGCCCCUGCGCAAGGAUGACACGCAU